CGUGUAGGCGGUUUCGUAUGUCUGGCGUGAAAGCCCCGGGCUCACCUCGGGAAGUGCGUCGGAAACUGCGAGACUAGAGUCCCGGAGAGGGAGGUGGAAUUCCAGGUGUAGCGGUGAAAUGCGUAGAUAUCUGGAAGAACACCGGUGGCGAAAGCGGCCUCCUGGACGGUGACUGACGCUGAGACGCGAAAGCGUGGGGAGCAAAC
rnacentral:rRNA from 1 species